rnacentral:rRNA from 1 species
AACGGACGUUGGCGGCGUGCUUAACACAUGCAAGUCGAACGAGAACGUUCCUUCGGGGACGAGUAAAGUGGCGCACGGGAGAGUAACGAGUAAGUCAUCUACCUUUGAAGUUAUCUACCCUCCCAUCUGGAAUAACUCACCGAAAGGUGUGCUAAUACCGGAUACGUUGGAAACAAGAAAGGUGGCCUCUAUUUAUAAGCUACCGUGGGGGGAUGAGCUUGCGUACCAUUAGCUAGUUGGUAGGGUAAUGGCCUACCAAGGCAACGAUGGUUAGCGGGUCUGAGAGGAUGAUCCGCCACACUGGAACUGGAACACGGACCAGACUCCUACGGGAGGCAGCAGUGAGGAAUAUUGCGCAAUGGGGGAAACCCUGACGCAGCGACGCCGCGUGGAUGAUGAAGGCCUUUGGGUCGUAAAAUCCUGUCAGAUGGAAAGAAAUGUACAUGUGCUAAUAUCACUUGUAUUUGACGGUACCAUCAAAGGAAGCACCGGCUAACUCCGUGCCAGCAGCCGCGGUAAUACGGAGGGUGCAAGCGUUGUUCGGAAUUACUGGGCGUAAAGCGCGCGUAGGUGGCUCUAUAAGUCAGAUGUGAAAGUCCACGGCUCAACCGUGGAAGUGCAUUUGAAACUGUAGAACUUGAGUAUUGGAGGGGGUAGUGGAAUUCCCGGUGUAGAGGUGAAAUUCGUAGAUAUCGGGAGGAAUACCGGUGGCGAAGGCGACUACCUGGCCAAAUACUGACACUGAGGUGCGAAAGCGUGGGGAGCAAACAGGAUUAGAUACCCUGGUAGUCCACGCCGUAAACGAUGUCAACUAGGUGUUGGGGAGGUUAAUCUUCUCAUUGCCGCAGCUAACGCAUUAAGUUGACCGCCUGGGGAGUACGGUCGCAAGAUUAAAAACUCAAAGGAAUUGACGGGGGCCCGCACAAGCGGUGGAGUAUGUGGUUUAAUUCCCCGCAACGAGCAGCAAAUUACAUGGUCUUGACAUCCCGAAAAAGCCCUAGAAAUAGGGAAGUGCUCUCUUUGAGAGAAUUUGGUGACAUGUGCUGCAUGGCUUUCGUCAGCUCGUGUCGUGAGAUGUUGGGUUAAGUUCCGCAACGAGCGCAACCCUGGCCCUUAGUUGCUACCAUUUAGUUGGGCACUUUAAGGAGACUGCCGGUGAUAAACCGGAGGAAGGUGGGGACGACGUCAAGUCCUCAUGGCCUUUAUGACCAGGGCUACACACGUACUACAAUGGCCGGUACAACGGGCAGCCACUUCGCGAGAAGGAGCAAAUCCCUAAAAGCCGGUCUCAGUCCGGAUUGGAGUCUGCAACUUGACUCCAUGAAGUUGGAAUCGCUAGUAAUCGUGGAUCAGCAUGCCGCGGUGAAUACGUUCCCGGGCCUUGUACACACCGCCCGUCACACCACGGGAGUUGGUUGUACCAGAAGCGGUUGAGAUGACAUUAGCGAGGCAGGCAGACAAGGUAUGGCUGGUAACUGAGGUG